rnacentral:rRNA from 1 species
AUUGAACGCUGGCGGCAGGCCUAACACAUGCAAGUCGAACGAGUGGCGGACGGGUGAGUAAUGUCUGGGAAACUGCCCGAUGGAGGGGGAUAACUACUGGAAACGGUAGCUAAUACCGCAUACCAUCGGAUGUGCCCAGAGGGGAUUAGCUAGUAGGGGGGGUAACGGCUCACCUGGGCGACGAUCCCUAGCUGGUCUGAGCGGAUGACCAGCCACACUGGAACGGAGACACGGUCCAGACUCCUACGGGAGGCAGCGGUGGGAAAUUGUGCACAAUGGGCGCAGGCCGGAUGCAGCCAUGCCGGGUGUAUGAAGAAGGCCUUCGGGUUGUAAAGUACUUUCAGCGGGGAGGCGUUACCCGCAGAAGAAGCACCGGCUAACUCCGUGCCAGCAGCCGCGGUAAUUC